GAAGCGAGGCUGUGAAGCGGAGCAAAUCUCAAAAACCGGUACCCAGUUCGGAUUGUAGGCUGCAACUCGCCUACAUGAAGUCGGAGUUGCUAGUAAUCGCGGAUCAGAAUGCCGCGGUGAAUACGUUCCCGGGCCUUGUACACACCGCCCGUCACACCAUGGGAGUCGGUAACACCCGAAGCCGAUAGUCUAACGAAAGAGGACGUCGUCGAAGGUGGGAUUGAUGACUGGGGUGAAGUCGUAACAAGGUACC
rnacentral:rRNA from 1 species